rnacentral:lncRNA from 1 species
AACUGUCUUUAGUGACACCUACUGAUAAGAGCCAAUCGGAACCGUGGUCGAAUUCCUUCAGAUUGGACCUGCCAACAAACUGCUCAGCCCUCCAGAUGUUACCGCUUUGUGAGAAAUAAGAACUCAAUAAACCAGGCUCACCCUUCCUCCUGGGGUGAACACAAAGACAGUCAGAUAUGGAAAAUCACGGCUCAGCACCGUGAACAAUGCACUCAAGUGAGGGGUUGGGGCCGGUCUUAUUUGUCUUGGUGGAACAGACAGCCAUGGAGCCUGAUGCAAGAAUUUUAGUUGGCAA